rnacentral:rRNA from 1 species
GACGAACGCUGGCGGCGUGCUUAACACAUGCAAGUCGAACGGAAAGGCCCUGCUCUUGUGGGGUGCUCGAGUGCCGAACGGGUGAGUAACACGUGAGUAACCUGCCCUUGACUUUGGGAUAACUUCAGGAAACUGGGGCGAAUAUCGGAUAGGAGCUCCUGCUGCAUGGUGGGGGUUGGAAAGUUUCGGCGGUUGGGGAUGGACUCGCGGCUUAUCAGCUUGUUGGUGGGGUAGUGGCUUACCAAGGGUUUGACGGGUAGCCGGCCUGAGAGGGUGACCGGCCACAUUGGGACUGAGAGACGGCCCAGACGCCUACGGGAGGCAGCAGGGGAAAGUAUUGCAGAGUGGGCGGAAGCCAGAGGCAGCAGCGCCGCGUGCGGGAUGACGGCCUUCGAGUUGUAAACCGCUUUCGCCUGAGACGAAGAGUGAGUGACGGUAAUGGAUAAGGAAGCACCGGCUAACUACGUG